GAAUGAAAGGUUGAAUGAAAUAAAAUCUUUAUUUUUUAAAAUUUUGUAAUUUUAUUUUUAAGUUAAAAAGCUUAAAUUAAUAUUUAAGACGAGAAGACCCUAUAAAUUUUUAUAAGUUUAAUUUUAAAAAAUUUUUUAUUUUAUAUAUUAAAAUUUAAAUAUUAUUUAAUUGGGGUGUUUAAAAUAUUUAAAAAACUAUUUAUAAAUAAUUAAAAUUUAAUUAAAUAUUUGAUCCAUAAAAAUGAAUAAAAAAUUAAAUUACUUUAGGGAUAACAGCAUAAUUUUUUUAUAAAGAUCAUAUUAAUAAAAAAGAUUAU
rnacentral:rRNA from 1 species